rnacentral:tRNA from 1 species
GUUUAAAUAGUUUAAUUAAAAAUUAAAGAUUGUGAUUCUUUAGAUAGAUAUAUCUUUUAGGCG